rnacentral:rRNA from 1 species
AACGAACGCUGGCGGCAUGCCUAACACAUGCAAGUCGAACGAGACCUUCGGGUCUAGUGGCGCACGGGUGCGUAACGCGUGGGAACCUGCCCUUAGGUUCGGAAUAACUCCCCGAAAGGGGUGCUAAUACCGGAUAAUGUCUUCGGACCAAAGAUUUAUCGCCUUUGGAUGGGCCCGCGUUGGAUUAGCUAGUUGGUAGGGUAAAAGCCUACCAAGGCGACGAUCCAUAGCUGGUCUGAGAGGAUGAUCAGCCACACUGGGACUGAGACACGGCCCAGACCCCUAGGGGAGGGAGCAGGGGGGAAUAGUGGAAAAGGGGCAAAGGCCUGACCCAGCAAUGCCGGGUGAGUGAUGAAGGCCUUAGGGUGGAAAACCUCUUUUACCCGGGAUGAUAAUGACGGUCCCGGGAAAAAAAGCCCCGGCAAACCCCGU